rnacentral:rRNA from 1 species
CCUACGGGAGGCAGCAGUGAGGAAUAUUGGUCAAUGGACGAGAGUCUGAACCAGCCAAGUAGCGUGAAGGAUGACUGCCCUAUGGGUUGUAAACUUCUUUUAUAUGGGAAUAAAACGUUCCACGUGUGGGAUUUUGUAUGUACCAUAUGAAUAAGGAUCGGCUAACUCCGUGCCAGCAGCCGCGGUAAUACGGAGGAUCCGAGCGUUAUCCGGAUUUAUUGGGUUUAAAGGGAGCGUAGGUGGAUUGUUAAGUCAGUUGUGAAAGUCUGCGGCUCAACCGUAAAAUUGCAGUUGAAACUGGCAGUCUUGAGUACAGUAGAGGUGGGCGGAAUUCGUGGUGUAGCGGUGAAAUGCUUAGAUAUCACGAAGAACUCCGAUUGCGAAGGCAGUUCACUGGACUGCAACUGACACUGAGGCUCGAAAGUGUGGGUAUCAAACAGGAUUAGAUACCCGAGUAG